UAAUUACCCCUGAUCUCACAAAUCU
rnacentral:miRNA from 1 species